ACUAACGUCUCCAUCUCCAGCUUC
rnacentral:siRNA from 1 species